rfam:Salmo salar isolate Sally breed double haploid chromosome ssa01, whole genome shotgun sequence.
UGUACUCAAUAUUGUAAGUUGCUCUGGAUAAGAGCAUCUGCUAAAUUCCUAAAA